ACAUUUAGCUGGCAAACACAGAGGCAAGUGACUAGAAAUAAUCUGCUACCUCCCCAACAGACGGACCACAGCCCCUUUUUCUUUUCUCUCUCUCUCUCUCUUUUUUUUCCCUCUGUCGUGUACCCUAACAGCUAACUAGAAAACCUAGUGACCAAAAAGUUAGGGACUGCAGCAUAGCAGAGUCAGGGAAAGGAUUGAUGACCAGUGGCUUGAGAGAAAGACACAGACACACACAUGGGAUUUAAACAGCCUCAGGUCGCCACCUAACCCACUAGAGAGGAAAUUGAAGGGCAACCUAGCAGCCUUGGGCUGUAUUUGCAGUGGGUGACAGCACCCCCAACCCCACGCCCUGUUCUGCGGCAAGCUGUGAAACAGGAUAGAGAAGUGCCAGUGGGGGUGAAACAGGAGGCUGUGCAAAGACCGAGUGGAGCCAACUGUACACAGGACUGGGAGCAGCGCCGGGCUUUCCCUGCCUGAGGGCGCCACAGCAACCCAUGUUAACAGUCAGCUCCAGAUUUGAGGAAAUUGAAGAAUGUGCAGGAACUUUUACUUCCAUUGCAGGUCCCAAAGAUGAGGACUCCAGUAAGGUACCCAGUGGAAGCGCCUCUCAGCAGGCAUCGGCCGACUUCAGGAGGCUCCUGAUCAACAGAAGCAAGACUGUACAGCUGGACCAUCUUCAAGGAGACUGGAAUUAGACUUCCUCUUUUGAUCUGAAGACCAUGAAAAAAUUUGAGGAUAUGUUUCUAAACCAUUACAGGUAUUAUUAGUAUUGUUGCUCUUUGCAUACUCUACCUGCUAGUAAGUGAAUUAUCCUAUGGAGCUCCCUGUGGAAGGGCAGGGAUCCAUUAGACUUGUUAAGGUCCAUCCCCCUCAUAUUCUCCAAGUAAACCUAGGGCCCUGUCU
rnacentral:lncRNA from 1 species